GCUUAACACAUGCAAGUCGAACGAAGAUAUUUAAAAUGAGAGCUUCGGCAGGAUUUUUAUCUAUCUUAAUGGCGGACGGGUGAGUAACGUGUGGUCAACCUGCCCUGUACUGGGGAAUAAUCAUUGAAAACGAUGACUAAUACCGCAUGUGGUCCUCGGAAGGCAUCUUCUGAGGAAGAAAGGAUUUAUUCGGUACAGGAUGGGCCCGCAUCUGAUUAGCUAGUUGGUGAGAUAACACCCCACCAAGGCGACGAUCAGUAGACGACCUGAGAGGGUGAUCGGCCACGUUGGGACUGAGACACGGCCCAAACUCCUACAGGAGGCAGCAGUGGGGAAUAUUGCACGAUGGACGAAAGCCUGAAGCAGCAACGCCGCGUGAAGGAUGAAGGGUUUCGGCUCGUAAACUUCUAUCAAAAAGGAAGAAACGAAUGACGGUACCUAAAUAACAAGCCCCGGCUAACUACGUGCCAGCAGCCGCGGUAAUACGUAGGGGGCAAGCGUUAUCCGGAAUUACUGAGUGUAAAGGGAGCGUAUGCGGCAUGGUAAGCCAGAUGUGAAAGCCUUGGGCUUAACCCGAGGAUUGCAUUUGGAACUAUCAAGCUAUAGUACAGGAGAGGAAAGCGGAAUUCCUAGUGUAGCGGUGAAAUGCGUAUAUAUUAGGAAGAACACCAGAGGCGAAGGCGGCUUUCUGGACUGAAACUGACUCUGAGGCUCGAAAAGCGAGGGCAGCAAAUCGGAUUAGAUACCCUGGUAGUCCACGCCGUAAACGAUGAGUGCUAGGUGUCGGGGAGGAAUCCUCGGUGCCGCAGCUAACGCAAUAAGCACUCCACCUGGGGAGUACGACCGCAAGGUUGAAACUCAAAGGAAUUGACGGGGGCCCGCACAAGCGGUGGAGCAUGUGGUUUAAUUCGAAGCAACGCGAAGAACCUUACCAAGUCUUGACAUCCCGAUGACCGUCCUAGAGAUAGGACUUCUCUUCGGAGCAUCGGUGACAGGUGGUGCAUGGUUGUCGUCAGCUCGUGUCGUGAGAUGUUGGGUUAAGUCCCGCAACGAGCGCAACCCUUAUCUUCAGUAGCCAUCAUUCAGUUGGGCACUCUGGAGAGACUGCCGUGGAUAACACGGAGGAAGGUGGGGAUGACGUCAAAUCAUCAUGCCCCUUAUGUCUUGGGCUACACACGUGCUACAAUGGCUGGUAACAGAGUGACGAGAGACGGGGACGCUAAGCAAAUCACAAAAACCCAGUCCCAGUUCGGAUUGUAGUUUGCAACUCGACUACAUGAAUCGGGAAUCGUUAGUAAUCGGGAAUCAGCAUGUCGCGGUGAAUACGUUCCCGGGCCUUGUACACACCGCCCGUCACACCAUGGGAGUUGGAAGCACCCGAAGUCGGUGACCUACCCGUAAGGAAGGAGCCGCCGAAGGUGAAGCCAGUGACUGGGGUGAA
rnacentral:rRNA from 1 species